UACGUAGGGUGCAAGCGUUGUCCGGAAUUAUUGGGCGUAAAGAGCUCGUAGGCGGUUUGUCGCGUCUGCUGUGAAAACCCGAGGCUCAACCUCGGGCCUGCAGUGGGUACGGGCAGACUAGAGUGCGGUAGGGGAGAUUGGAAUUCCUGGUGUAGCGGUGGAAUGCGCAGAUAUCAGGAGGAACACCAAUGGCGAAGGCAGAUCUCUGGGCCGUAACUGACGCUGAGUGAGCGAAAGCCAGGGGAGCAAACGGG
rnacentral:rRNA from 1 species